rnacentral:rRNA from 1 species
UAGGGAAUCUUCGGCAAUGGGGGGAACCCUGACCGAGCAACGCCGCGUGAGUGAAGAAGGUUUUCGGAUCGUAAAGCUCUGUUGUUAAGGAAGAACGAGUGUGAGAAUGGAAAGUUCAUGCUGUGACGGUACUUAACCAGAAAGGGACGGCUAACUACGUGCCAGCCGCCGCGGUAAUACGUAGGUGGCAAGCGUUGUCCGGAUUUAUUGGGCGUAAAGCGAGCGCAGGCGGUCAAGUAAGUCUGAUGUGAAAGCCCCCGGCUCAACCGGGGAGGGUCAUUGGAAACUAGUUGACUUGAGUGCAGAAGAGGAGAGUGGAAUUCCAUGUGUAGCGGUGAAAUGCGUAGAUAUAUGGAGGAACACCGGUUGCGAAAGCGGCUCUCUGGUCUGUAACUGACGCUGAGGCUCGAAAGCGUGGGGAGCGAACAGG